CCAGACGGUCGGAUGGCCGCUCUUCUUGUGGAGAGAGGAAAGUCCGGGCUCCACGGAAACACGGUGCCGGGUAACACCCGGCGGGGGCGACCCCAGGGAUAGUGCCACAGAAAGAAAACCGCCCGCCGCCGCUUUAGCGACGGCUGGUAAGGGUGAAAGGGUGUGGUAAGAGCGCACCGCGCCGGCGGCAACAUCGGCGGCAAGGUAAACCCCACCGGGAGCAAAACCAAAUAGGGACGGCACGUCUCAGGAAACUGAGACAGGCGAGUUUCCGAACCGUCGUCCGGGUAGGUUGCACGAGGCGUCCGGUGACGGACGCCCUAGAUGAAUGGUCAUCGCCCUCGAGUUGAGGGGGAACAGAACCCGGCUUACAGGCCGUCUGGCAUC
rnacentral:RNase_P_RNA from 1 species